GAUGAAGAACGUAGCGAAAUGCGAUAAGUAGUGUGAAUUGCAGAAUUCAGUGAAUCAUCGAAUCUUUGAACGCACAUUGCGCCCCUUGGUAUUCCAUGGGGCAUGCCUGUUCGAGCGUCAUUUGUACCUUCAAGCUUUGCUUGGUGUUGGGUGUUUGUCCUGAGGGACUCGCCUUAAAGUAAUUGGCAGCCAGUGUUUUGGUUUUGAAGCGCAGCACAAGUCGCGAUUCAAUGCUAUACGCCAGCUUCCACAAGCCUUUUUCACUUUUGACCUCGGAUCAGGUAGGGAUACCCGCUGAACUUAAGCAUAUCAAUAAGCGGAGGA
rnacentral:misc_RNA from 1 species